UCAGUCGACUCCUACGGGGAGGCAGCAGUGGGGAAUAUUGCACAAUGGGGGAAACCCUGAUGCAGCCAUGCCGCGUGUGUGAAGAAGCCUUCGGGUGUAAAGCACUUUCAGUAGGGAGGAAGGUAGUGUAGUUAACACCUGCACUAUUUGACGUUACCUACAGAAGAAGCACCGGCUAACUCCGUGCCAGCAGCCGCGGUAAUACGGAGGGUGCGAGCGUUAAUCGGAAUUACUGGGCGUAAAGCGCAUGCAGGCGGCCUGUUAAGUCAGAUGUGAAAGACCCGGGGCUUAACCUCGGAAUUGCAUUUGAAACUGGCAGGCUAGAGUCUUGUAGAGGGGGGUAGGAAUUUCAGGUGUAGCGGUGAAAUGCGUAGAGAUCUGAAGGAAUACCAGUGGCGAAGGCGGCCCCCUGGACAAAGACUGACGCUCAGAUGCGAAAGCGUGGGGAGCAAACAGGAUUAGAUACCCUGGUAG
rnacentral:rRNA from 1 species